rnacentral:rRNA from 1 species
AUUGAACGCUGGCGGCAGGCCUAACACAUGCAAGUCGAACGGUAGCACAGAGAGCUUGCUCUCGGGUGACGAGUGGCGGACGGGUGAGUAAUGUCUGGGAAACUGCCCGAUGGAGGGGGAUAACUACUGGAAACGGUAGCUAAUACCGCAUAACGUCUUCGGACCAAAGUGGGGGACCUUCGGGCCUCACACCAUCGGAUGUGCCCAGAUGGGAUUAGCUAGUAGGUGGGGUAAUGGCUCACCUAGGCGACGAUCCCUAGCUGGUCUGAGAGGAUGACCAGCCACACUGGAACUGAGACACGGUCCAGACUCCUACGGGAGGCAGCAGUGGGGAAUAUUGCACAAUGGGCGCAAGCCUGAUGCAGCCAUGCCGCGUGUAUGAAGAAGGCCUUCGGGUUGUAAAGUACUUUCAGCGGGGAGGAAGGCGAUGGAGUUAAUAGCUUCAUCGAUUGACGUUACCCGCAGAAGAAGCACCGGCUAACUCCGUGCCAGCAGCCGCCGUAA